UACGUAGGGUGCAAGCGUUGUCCGGAAUUAUUGGGCGUAAAGAGCUCGUAGGCGGUUUGUCGCGUCUGCUGUGAAAACUCGGGGCUUAACUCCGGGCCUGCAGUGGGUACGGGCAGACUAGAGUGCGGUAGGGGAGACUGGAAUUCCUGGUGUAGCGGUGAAAUGCGCAGAUAUCAGGAGGAACACCGAUGGCGAAGGCAGAUCUCUGGGCCGUAACUGACGCUGAGGAGCGAAAGCGUGGGGAGCGAACAGG
rnacentral:rRNA from 1 species